GCCGGACGCGGUGGCGCGCGCCUGUAGUCCCAGCUACUCGGGAGGCUGAGAUGGGAGGAUUGCUUGAGCCCAGGAGUUCUGGGCUGUAGUGCGCUAUGCCGAUCGGGUGUCCGCACUAAGUUCGGCAUCAAUAUGGUGACCUCCCGGGAGCGGGGGACCACCAGGUUGCCUAAGGAGGGGUGAACCGGCCCAGGUCGGAAACGGAGCAGGUCAAAACUCCCGUGCUGAUCAGUAGUGGGAUCGCGCCUGUGAAUAGCCACUGCACUCCAGCCUGGGCAACAUAGCGAGACCCCGUCUCU
rnacentral:SRP_RNA from 1 species